rnacentral:rRNA from 1 species
ACGAACGCUGGCGGCGUGCUUCACACAUGCAAGUCGAACGCUGAAGCUUGGUGCUUGCACUGGGUGGAUGAGUGGCGAACGGGUGAGUAAUACGUGAGUAACCUGCCCUUGACUCUGGGAUAAGCCUGGGAAACUGGGUCUAAUACUGGAUACGACAUGCCACUGCAUGGUGGUGUGUGGAAAGGGUUUUACUGGUUUUGGAUGGGCUCACGGCCUAUCAGCUUGUUGGUGGGGUAAUGGCCUACCAAGGCGACGACGGGUAGCCGGCCUGAGAGGGUGACCGGCCACACUGGGACUGAGACACGGCCCAGACUCCUACGGGAGGCAGCAGUGGGGAAUAUUGCACAAUGGGCGGAAGCCUGAUGCAGCGACGCCGCGUGAGGGAUGACGGCCUUCGGGUUGUAAACCUCUUUCAGCACGGAAGAAGCGAGAGUGACGGUACGUGCAGAAGAAGCGCCGGCUAACUACGUG